UGUUAAGUAGGUUAAUUAGCAGGAGUCUGAGAUUUCCUUAACAAGACAGAAAAGCUUAGUUAGGAAGAGAUCUAGCAAAGAGGAGGUGGGGGAGUCCCUGCUCUCAGAGAGAAAUAAGGAGUAGAGUAUUAGGGAAGACCCAUGAAGGACUGAAGUGGUUUAAACUUGUGUUUUUGUUUGGGAAUUUGUUGGAGAACUCCAGGAGAGUAUCCUGCUAGUCAUGGCCCGGAGGGAGGGGUGACGUCUGAAACCUCUGGGAGCCUGACUGAAAUACAGGAUCCCCAUGCUGGAACCCAGAGGAGAGGGAGGGCCUUGCUUCCCCUACUAGCUACCAAGGAAUGUGGUGAGAACCUGCUCCUCAGAGAGUAUAAGGAUUUCUGAAAGCCUUGGGAUGGAAAUGUGUAAGGGAUAAUGGGACCAAAUCAGAGACCAAAACCUGAUGUAAGGACACGGGACUUCCUAUUACCCUGAAAGGGAUGCAAACAAAAUGUGAUCUGAGACAUGAGAAGAGGCAGACUCACAGGACCAGAGUGACUUUUGCUAGGGGGUAUUGGAGGAGGGGGCCUGCAAUACCACACCUGGCCAUGAGGAGACAGCUGUGGUGAUUCAACUUUUUCCACAGAGCUAUAAAAAUACCAAAACACAGAGCAAGUGGAAAAGCAAUUGCUAUACCUACCGGGGCUUAGAUAUGUGCUUUACACAAUAAUCGUGCUCCAUCAACUUAAGGUGUCAUUGUCUGAGUGUCUGCUAUGUUGGUUAAUUAAAAACACUAGGGGGGAAAAUGAUUCUUUGUCACAGCUAAUGUUGCAGUGGGGUCUGGUUCCCAAAAUAACUGGUGAGGUUGCAGGUAUCAAUCUUUCUCCUAGCCCUCCCUGCAAGUUGAUCUUAUAUUCAAGGUAGAAACUGGGACACUAAUCAUGGGUGUCGUUUGGGUGGAUAAUAAGGGAGUCCAUGGGGGAAGUGGGACGACACAUGAGUGCCAUCUCCUCUUCUGCCCCUUCUAGAGAGAGAGAAACUGGGCCACAGUUAAGGGCAGGGUGGGAGGAAAAAAAUGUCAUCCCUCUGUGAACCUUUUCACUGUUUGCUACUAGUCCCAAACUCUUCCCCCUGCUCAUGUCCUUCUGCCACUGUGUGUGUGUUUCUCUCGCAUGCAUGCACAGACAUUCAUCAACUGACCUAUUUCCCUGCUACAUUCAAUGCUGUCUCACUCUGCUGUCCAAUCCAACUGAUCCCCCACCCAACUCAGAGGCUCCCAACCCUCCUCAACUCCCUCUAACCCACAUCUUAUCUCCUUAAAAAUAUCCCUAGCAUUGCCAACCCCAAGAAUGUAAAAACCACAAAUCAACCCCCCCCAAACUCAUAAUACUGUCUUCUUCAUAAAAAGAUCCCAAAAUUUAAAAAAAAAAACUAUUUGCCUUCUGA